UACGAAGGGGGCUAGCGUUGUUCGGAAUUACUGGGCGUAAAGGGCGCGUAGGCGGCCUUCUAAGUCGAACGUGAAAUCCCCGGGCUCAACCCGGGAACUGCGUCCGAUACUGGAAGGCUUGAAUCCGGGAGAGGGAUGCGGAAUUCCAGGUGUAGCGGUGGAAUGCGUAGAUAUCUGGAGGAACACCGGUGGCGAAGGCGGCAUCCUGGACCGGUAUUGACGCUGAGGCGCGAAAGCCAGGGGAGCAAACGGG
rnacentral:rRNA from 1 species